rnacentral:rRNA from 1 species
CCUACGGGAGGCAGCAGUGAGGAAUAUUGGUCAAUGGACGAGAGUCUGAACCAGCCAAGUAGCGUGAAGGAUGACUGCCCUAUGGGUUGUAAACCUCUUUUAUAUGGGAAUAAAACGUUCCACGUGUGGGAUUUUGUAUGUACCAUAUGAAUAAGGAUCGGCUAACUCCGUGCCAGCAGCCGCGGUAAUACGGAGGAUCCGAGCGUUAUCCGGAUUUAUUGGGUUUAAAGGGUGCGUAGGCGGAUUUUUAAGUCAGUUGUGAAAGUUUGCGGUUCAACCGUAAAAUUGCAGUUGAAACUGGCAGUCUUGAGUACGGUAGAGGUAGGCGGAAUUCGUGGUGUAGCGGUGAAAUGCUUAGAUAUCACGAAGAACUCCGAUUGCGAAGGCAGUUCACUAGGCUGCGACUGACGCUGAGGCUCGAAAGUGUGGGUAUCAAACAGGAUUAGAUACCCCGGUAGUC